AGGACGAACGCUGGCGGCGUGCUUAACACAUGCAAGUCGAGCGGAAAGGCCCUUCGGGGUACUCGAGCGGCGAACGGGUGAGUAACACGUGAGUAAUCUGCCCCUAGCUCUGGGGAUAGCUCCGGGAAACCGGGAUUAAUACCAGAUACGACCACUUUAGACAUCUGCUGUGGUGGAAAGAAUUUCGGCUAGGGAUGAGCUCGCGGCCUAUCAGCUUGUGGUGAGGUAACGGCUCACCAAGGCGACGACGGGUA
rnacentral:rRNA from 1 species